CAGUCCUCUCAUGGUCACUCAUAUAAUUGGAGGGAGAAGUGGUGGUUGUGUAUAGCCCUCCUCCACGUUGGUACCACUUAUCCAGAAGAUGGAGUUCAUCCAAUAACCAACCCGCAGAGCUGCUACAGACCACAGACAUUACGGACACAGUGUAAAGAGAUAGGAUUAAAAGGAAGCUGUGAGAGACUAAACUAAACAAUCAUCAGAAAUCCACUGUACGUAAAAGGAGCCCUCAGAGAGUAACAUGAAUUCAGACAGGUGAUGCUUUCAUGUCAACAUCAAAUAUUGCAGCCCGCCUUCCUACUGUGUUCAAACAUGCUCUUUCCUGUCC